rnacentral:rRNA from 1 species
CUGGAUUCAGCGGCGGACGGGUGAGUAAUGCCUAGGAAUCUGCCUGGUAGUGGGGGAUAACGUUCCGAAAGGAACGCUAAUACCGCGUACGUCCUACGGGAGAAAGCAGGGGACCUUCGGGCCUUGCGCUAUCAGAUGAGCCUAGGUCGGAUUAGCUAGUUGGUGAGGUAAUGGCUCACCAAGGCGACGAUCCGUAACUGGUCUGAGAGGAUGAUCAGUCACACUGGAACUGAGACACGGUCCAGACUCCUACGGGAGGCAGCAGUGGGGAAUAUUGGACAAUGGGCGAAAGCCUGAUCCAGCCAUGCCGCGUGUGUGAAGAAGGUCUUCGGAUUGUAAAGCACUUUAAGUUGGGAGGAAGGGCUGUAGGCUAAUAUCCUGCGGUUUUGACGUUACCAACAGAAUAAGCACCGGCUAACUUCGUGCCAGCAGCCGCGGUAAUACGAAGGGUGCAAGCGUUAAUCGGAAUUACUGGGCGUAAAGCGCGCGUAGGUGGUUCGUUAAGUUGGAUGUGAAAGCCCCGGGCUCAACCUGGGAACUGCAUCCAAAACUGGCGAGCUAGAGUACGGUAGAGGGUAGUGGAAUUUCCUGUGUAGCGG